rnacentral:ncRNA from 1 species
GUUUCAGGGCGGGGUGUGAUUCCCCACUGGCGGUAAAGUCCGCGACCACCUUUCACAGGUGCUGACCCGGUGCAACUCCGGGACCAACGGUAUAGUCCGGAUGCAAGAAA